rnacentral:rRNA from 1 species
CAGCUACCAUGCAAGUCGAGCGGUAACAGGAGAGUACUGUGCUACUUUUGCUGACGAGCGGCGGACGGGUGAGUAGUGCUUGGGGAUCUGCCCGGUCGAGGGGGAUAACCGUUGGAAACGACGGCUAAUACCGCAUACGCCCUACGGGGGAAAGCGGGGGACCUUCGGGCCUUGCGCGAUUGGAUGAACCCAAGUGAGAUUAUCUUGUUGGUGAGGUAACGGCUCACCAGGGCGACUAUCUCUAUCUGGUCUGAGAGGAUGACCAGUCACACUGGGACUGACACACGGCCCACACUCCUACGGGAGGCAGCAGUGGGGAAUAUUGCACAGUGGGAGAAACCCUGAUGCACCCGUGCCGCGUGUGUGAAAAAGGCCUUCGGGUUGUAAAGCACUUUCAGUGGUGAGGAAAGGCGGUUGGCUAAUACCCGAGCGCUGUGACGUUAACCACAAAAAAAGCACCGGCUAACUCCGUGCCAGCACCCGCGGUAAUACAGAGGGUGCAAGCGUUAAUCAGAAUAACUGGGCGUAAAGCGCACGCGGGCGGUUUGUUAACCCAUAUGUGAAAGCCCCGGGCUCAACCCGGGAACUGCAUUUGGAACUGGCAGACUAGAGUCUUGGAGAGGGGGGUAGAAUUUCCGGUGUAGCGGUGAAAUGCGUAGAGAUCAGAAAGAAUACCAGUGGCGAGCGCGGCCCCGUGGACAAAGACUGACGCUCAUGUGCGAGAGCGUGGAGAGCACACGAUAUUAUAUACUCUGAUACUCCACGCCGUACACGAUGUCAACUAGAACUCUGUGCUAUUUGAGCGCGUGUCUCAGCUCUAACGUGUUAAUGUUGACCGUCUGGAGUAGUACGCGCAGGGUUACACUCAUAUGAUUGACGGGGCCGCCACGAGCUGUAGCAUCAUGUGUUAUUACUCGAUGCACGCAGA